rnacentral:rRNA from 1 species
AACGCUGGCGGCGUGCCUAAUACAUGCAAGUCGAGCGGAUCUGUUCCUUCGGGAGCAGGUUAGCGGCGGACGGGUGAGUAACACGUAGGCAACCUGCCUGUAAGACCGGGAUAACUACCGGAAACGGUAGCUAAGACCGGAUAGCUGGUUUCUCCGCAUGGAGGAAUCAUGAAACGCGGCGCAAGCUGCGGCUUACGGAUGGGCCUGCGGCGCAUUAGCUAGUUGGUGGGGUAACGGCCUACCAAGGCGACGAUGCGUAGCCGACCUGAGAGGGUGAACGGCCACACUGGGACUGAGACACGGCCCAGACUCCUACGGGAGGCAGCAGUAGGGAAUCUUCCGCAAUGGACGCAAGUCUGACGGAGCAACGCCGCGUGAGUGAGGAAGGCCUUCGGGUCGUAAAGCUCUGUUGCCCUAGACGAAUGUCUUCAGGAGUAACUGCCUGGAGAGUGACGGUAUAGGAGAAGAAAGCCCCGGCUAACUACUGCCA